AGGGCAUACGGCGGAUGCCUAGGCGCCAUCAGCCGAUGAAGGACGCGGUAAGCUGCGAAAAGCUACGGGGAACUGCAAGCAAGUAUUGAUCCGUAGAUGUCCGAAUGGGGAAACCCACCUGCCGUCAUGGGCAGGUAUCCGAAAGGAAGGGAACCCGGGGAACUGAAACAUCUAAGUACCCGGAGGAAGAGAAAUCAAACGAGAUGCCCACAGUAGCGGCGAGCGAAGAGGGCAGAGGGCAAACCGGUGAGCUACGGCUCGCCGGGGUUGAGGACUGCAUUUAGUCUCAAUGGUCUAUCCGAACUACCUGGAAAGGUAGGCAAUACAGUGUAAAAGCCACGUAGGUUAAAGACCGGAGAGAUGAGCAGUAUCCAGAGUACCACGAGGCACGAGGAAUCUUGUGGGAAGCCGGGGGGACCACCCUCCAACCCUAAACACUGAAUGGCGACCGAUAGCGCAUAGUACCGUGAGGGAAAGGUGAAAAGAACCCCGGGAGGGGAGUGAAAGAGAACCUGAAACCGUAUGUCUACAAGCAGUCGGAGCGAAAGCGACGGCGUGCCUAUUGAAGAAUGAACCAACGAGUUACGUGCACUAGCGAGGUUAAGUGGAAGACACGGAGCCGAAGCGAAAGCGAGUCUUAAGAGGGCGGAUAGUUAGUGUACGUAGACCCGAAACCGCAGUGAUCUACCCAUGUCCAGGUUGAAGCGCAGGUAAAAUUGCGUGGAGGACCGAACCUGUGAGCGUUGAAAAGCUUUAGGAUGAGAUGUGGGUAGAGGUGAAAUUCCAAUCGAACGCGGAGAUAGCUGGUUCUCCCCGAAAUAGCUUUAGGGCUAGCCUCAAGUAGUAAGUAUAGGCGGUAGAGCACUGAUCGGGCUAGGGGCCAUAAAGGUUACCGAACCCUGUCAAACUCCGAAUGGUUAUACUGUAGAGCUUGGGAGUCAGACUACGAGUGAUAAGAUCCGUGGUCAAAAGGGAAACAGCCCAGACCACCAGCUAAGGUCCCCAAUGUCGUACUAAGUGGAAAAGGAUGUGGGGUCUCUAAAACAACCAGGAUGUUGGCUUAGAAGCAGCCACCAUUUAAAGAGUGCGUAAUAGCUCACUGGUCGAGAGACCCUGCGCCGAAGAUUACCGGGGCUAAAGUACGAAACCGAAGCUGUGGCUACGACAUAUGUCGUGGGGUAGGGGAGCGUUCUGUGAGGGCUGAAGUCGUUCUGUAAGGAACGGUGGACUUCACAGAAGUGAGAAUGUUGGUAUGAGUAGCGAAAAGAAUGGUGAGAAUCCAUUCCACCGAAAGCAUAAGGAUUCCUGGGCAACGAUCGUCGUCCCAGGGUAAGUCGGGACCUAAUCCGAGGCAUGGAGCGUAGGAGAUGGACAACUGGCAGAUAUUCCAGUACCGGUAAUGAUUGUUUGAGCGAUGGAGUGACACAGGAGGGCAGGCAGGCAGGAGAUUGGUUGUUCCUGUACAAGCGUGUAGGAUGGGACGCAGGCAAAUCCGCGUCCUGUGAGUCUGAGGCGUGAUGUGGAGGUUCCGGAAACGGAACUGAAGCUGCUGACCCCACACUGUCGAGAAAAGCUUCUAGUUAGAGAAUUACCGCCCGUACCGUAAACCGACACAGGUAUGCGGGGAGAGAAUCCUAAGGUGCGCGGGAGAACCCUCGUUAAGGAACUCGGCAAAAUGUACCCGUAACUUCGGGAUAAGGGUAGCCGCUGUUGUGAAGUCUGAACAGACGGAGCAUGAGGCGGUCGCAGAGAAGAGGCCCAAGCGACUGUUUACCACAAACACAGGUGCCUGCUAAAGAGAAAUCUGACGUAUAGGUGCUGACACCUGCCCAGUGCCGGAAGGUUAAGGAAGGAUGUCCGGAGCAAUCCAAAGCAUUCGACCGAAGCCCCGGUGAACGGCGGCCGUAACUAUAACGGUCCUAAGGUAGCGAAAUUCCUUGUCGGGUAAGUUCCGACCCGCACGAAAGGUGUAACGAUUUGGGCACUGUCUCAACGAGGGACCCGGUGAAAUUGAAGUACCUGUGAAGAUGCAGGUUACCCGCGACUGGACAGAAAGACCCCAUGGAGCUUUACUGUAACCUGACAUUGGGUUCUGAUACAUCACGUACAGGAUAGGUGGGAGGCAUGGAAGCGAGGACGCUAGUCUUCGUGGAGCCGCCGUUGGGAUACCACCCUUGAUGUAUCGGAAUUCUAACCGUAGGAGUAACGAAACUCGGGACAGUGUCAGGCGGGCAGUUUGACUGGGG
rnacentral:rRNA from 1 species